UACGGAGGGGGCAAGCGUUGUUCGGAAUUACUGGGCGUAAAGGGCGUGUAGGCGGUUUAUCAAGCCAGACGUGAAAGACCUUGGCUCAACCAAGGAGGUGCGUAUGAGACUGGUAGACUUGAGAUUGGGAGAGGAAAGCAGAAUUCCAAGUGGAGAGGUGAAAUUCGUAGAUAUUUGGAGGAAUACCAGUGGCGAAGGCGGCUUUCUGGAACAUAUCUGACGCUGAGGCGCGAAAGCGUGGGGAGCGAACAGG
rnacentral:rRNA from 1 species